rnacentral:tRNA from 1 species
GCUUUCGUGGUUUAGUGGUUAGAACGCUCGACGAAUACUAGAGAGGUCCCUGGUUCAAGUCCCGGCGAGGGUA